CUUUCUUUGCUGGCGACCGGCGCACGGGUGAGUAACACGUAUCCAACCUGCCCUUUACUCGGGGAUAGCCUUUCGAAAGAAAGAUUAAUACCCGAUAGCAUAAUGAUUCCGCAUGGUUUCAUUAUUAAAGGAUUCCGGUAAAGGAUGGGGAUGCGUUCCAUUAAGUUGUUGGUGAGGUAACGGCUCACCAAGCCUUCGAUGGAUAGGGGUUCUGAGAGGAAGGUCCCCCACAUUGGAACUGAGACACGGUCCAA
rnacentral:rRNA from 1 species